AUCUUAUAAAGAGUGUUUUCUGAUAAAAAACUUUUAGUAGGCAGAGUAUAGGAAAAUUAGAAAUGCCUAAAUACUUACGACCUGGUCUGGUAAGAUGCUAAUAAUUGUGAAAAAGCUUUAGUUCUAUUAGUACCUUUUGUAUAAUGGCCUUUCGAGGGGCUUUACCCUAGCGGUUUUUCCUGAAUUAAAAAGAUUUUUUAGGGGUUUAUAAGGUUAACGAUGUAAGGAAUCUUCUAAUCUCCUAAAAGAUGUGAUAUGCAAUAUCGAAUUUUAGUGUAGCUGGUUACGUAAAAAGUGCUUUUAGGUGCAGCUUUAAAGUUAUUUUAUGCGCAAAACAAAGUGCGUAACGGUUUAAAAGCUUUAAAAGUGAACAGUUUGGCUAAAGGUCAUGCUCAUUGCUUUCUGAUAAUUACAUACCUUAAAUAGAGAAAUUGGAUUUAAAAUGUCCGUUUUGAUGAGAGUAUUUAACAACUUGUCUUUUAGGGGUGGGUAUAAUCAAUUUGAUUGAGCAGAGGCGUACAAGCAUUAUGUAACUAUCUAAAAUAAAGUAAGAUGGCAUUUUAUGCUAGGAUUAGUAGUACUCUG
rnacentral:rRNA from 1 species